UACACUCCUACGGGAGGCAGCAGUGGGGAAUAUUGCACAAUGGGCGCAAGCCUGAUGCAGCCAUGCCGCGUGUAUGAAGAAGGCCUUCGGGUUGUAAAGUACUUUCAGCGGGGAGGAAGGCGAUAAGGUUAAUAACCUUGUCGAUUGACGUUACCCGCAGAAGAAGCACCGGCUAACUCCGUGCCAGCAGCCGCGGUAAUACGGAGGGUGCAAGCGUUAAUCGGAAUUACUGGGCGUAAAGCGCACGCAGGCGGUCUGUCAAGUCGGAUGUGAAAUCCCCAGGCUCAACCUGGGAACUGCAUUCGAAACUGGCAGGCUAGAGUCUUGUAGAGGGGGGUAGAAUUCCAGGUGUAGCGGUGAAAUGCGUAGAGAUCUGGAGGAAUACCGGUGGCGAAGGCGGCCCCCUGGACAAAGACUGACGCUCAGGUGCGAAAGCGUGGGGAGCAAACAGGAUUAGAUACCCGAGUAGUCCCAUGA
rnacentral:rRNA from 1 species